CGUGCUGGUGCUGAGGCUGGGGCGGAGAGCGUUGUGUAGAUAAUCAAUCAAGCAAGCAAACAAUCAUCUAUCAAUUCAGUUCUUAACCGAGGCUUCGAGCGAGAAUUCCAAACCCCACCCCCCGAACCCUAAUCAUCGUCAUCUCUCCCCGCCGAUGCCGAUGGACCCUCCCGCCGUCCCCCAAGACCAAGAAGACCCCCGCGCUGCCACCAACGGCGACAAUUUGACCACCCGCCUCUCCAAGAAGCCCAAACUCUCCUCCAUCACCGAAUCCCAAAUCCGGGAGGAGUUUGCCCACCACCAACCCGGCGUCGCCAGAAUCAACAACGGCAGCUUUGGCAGCUGCCCCGCUUCCAUCAUUGCUGCCCAGAAGAGCUGGCAACUCCGCUUCCUCAGCCAGCCCGACGAUUUCUUCUUCAAUCACCUCCAGCCUCAAAUUGCCCAUUCUCGCUCCAUCAUCAAGGAUCUCAUUAAUGCCGACCAUGUGGACGAGGUUUCCAUCGUGGACAACGCUACCACCGCCGCCGCCAUAGUUCUUCAGCACGUUGGCUGGGCCUUCGCCGAAGGCCGCUUCCAGAAGGGGGAUGCUGUCGUCAUGCUCCACUGUGCUUUUCAGGCUGUUAAGAAAUCCAUCGAAGCCUAUGUUACUCGCGCUGGGGGCUCUGUUAUCGUUGUUCACUUGCCCUUUCCCGUGAAUUCGAAUGAAGAUAUAAUAGCUGAGUUCCGGAAAGGCCUGGCCCGAGGUAAGGCCAAUGGUAAGAAAGUAAGGUUGGCCAUAAUUGAUCACAUUACAUCGAUGCCCUGUGUUGUUAUUCCUGCCCCGGAACUGGUAAGGAUUUGUCGGGAGGAAGGCGUGGAGCGUGUAUUUGUGGACGCUGCCCAUGCUAUUGGUAGCGUUCGUGUUGAUGUCAAGGAAAUCGGAGCUGACUUUUAUGUUAGCAAUCUGCACAAGUGGUUUUUCUGCCCUCCUUCUGUUGCAUUUUUGUAUUGUCGAAAAUCGCCUCUAUCACCGGAUUUGCACCACCCUGUGGUUUCACAUGAAUAUGGCAAUGGGCUUGCCAUAGAGAGCGCAUGGAUUGGAACACGGGACUACAGUGCUCAGCUGGUAAUCCCUAAAGCUUUGGAGUUCAUAAAUAGAUUUGAAGGAGGCCUUGAGGGGAUUAGGAAUAGGAACCAUGACAAAGUUGUGGAAAUGGGUAAAAUGUUGGCUGACGCAUGGGGCACAAGUCUUGGUUCACCCCCAGAGAUGUGUCCAAGCAUGGCAAUGGUUGGCCUGCCUUCAAAAUUGGGAGUUUUAUCUGAUGAAGAUGCUUCGUGCUUGAGGUCUCAUAUGAGAGACCAUUUUGGUGUGGAAGUACCAGUACACUGCCAAGUGCCUAGAGAUGGGGAAAUAGGAGCCACGGAUAAGGAUGGCUGUGUAACCGGGUAUGUCCGAAUUUCUCAUCAAGUCUACAAUACGCUUAAUGAUUACAUUAGGUUAAGAGAUGCAAUUACUCAACUUCUCCACGAUGGAGUGACUUGCAAGAUGCUACCGCAAGAUUCAUGAGCAAUGUGAUCAUGUCAUGGACAUCCACGGUUGCAUGGAACUAUGGGUAAGAAUUUUUAGCAUUGCUAUUUUAUGAAUGUGCAGUGGGUUUUGUGCAAAAGUAUUAGAAACAUGAAAAGAGUAUCUUGUUGGCUUGUACAUCUAGGAUGACUAGGAAAGGAUAAAGGGUCGAUUGCCUUUUAAGUCGAAGCAUGUUGAUGGUCCUUGAUGUUUGAUGUCAGCUGGUAUUUGAGACAUUUUCCACUAUUUUCUUCCAUAGAGAGAGAAUUCCUUGCUUAAUUAUGAGAAGGUUUUAUAAAUAUUCUCAAUAGUUGCAAACAAGGGAAGACACCUUUUGCAAAUAAAGUUCCUUAUAUUCAGUCCCAGUCUCUAGCAUUCUCUAUUUUGGAUGCUUGUUUAGAUGGCUUUGUAUGGACAAAUUAGCAUACAUAAGUGAAGUAAUUGGAUGCGUAGUCUCAAUUUAGCAGCUGCUGGCAUGCAUAAAAUAUUAUUCUAAUCCCGACAAGGACUGUAUGCUUAAUGAAGUGAAUAUUUGCACAUAUGAAAAGAUGAAGCAACAAAAUUAGAGCCUCGGAUGCAAAAUGUUUAGUAGGUUUUGGAAGUAUUUGAGUUUUGGGUUAGUUUAGCAAUAGUAAAAAGUUAAUAGAAAUAGAUGGUUGAUGUGAUGUAAAUAUGUGGAUUUGAUUUUUUGAGUAAUAUUUCAAAUGAAAAUUAGGGUUUGCAUAUGAUGAUUUUCUAGAGAGAAAUUUUGAUGAAUAGUAUUAACACCAAUUUGAAAACUAUCUAGAAGCAGGAUGAAACUGAGCCGCCAAUGGGAGCUCUGUCACCCUUGUGCAAUUUUGGAUAUUAAUUGGAAAUACCAUGUUUAUCCAUUAUAAAGGGAACUUGUAAGAUAUUAAAUAAUAAAUCAUUGGCUUUUCAAUUUCCAAUUCUUGGAGCUUGCGAGCUUCAGAUACUGGCAAGGAAAUUUUGUCAAGCUGAUGGGUGAGCAUCUUUACCGCCAUAGCUCGUUGAGAGGAGAAGGGAACAUUGCUGUGAUGAAUAAACUGCAUUGGAUGGCCCCUUGCAUGCCCUACUUUUCCCCCAGGAGUGCUGAAUAUUGGAUGAUGGGUCGGAAAACAAUAACUCUUAUGUACACAGUUGAAGUAAAAUUGUUUCCUUGUACUUUCAGAGUUUUUAGGACUAGAGGCUGACAUACUCUAUUUGUCAUGUGGGAGUGGGACCUUGUUUUAUAUUCGUCUUUGUCCCAAUUAUGGCAUCUAAUUUUAACACUUGUUGAGCCUCUGGCCCUUGUACGACCUGACGCUGUUUGAGAUAAGCAAAAGCAAAGGGUUAUUGUCUUA